CCUACGGGUGGCAGCAGUGGGGAAUAUUGCGCAAUGGGCGAAAGCCUGAUGCAGCGACGCCGCGUGAGGGAUGAAGGUCUUCGGAGCGUAAACCUCUGUCAGCAGGGAAGAACGGGCACUGUGCUAGUCAGCAGUGCAUUGACGGUACCUGCAAAGGAAGCCGCGGCUAACUCCGUGGCAGCAGCCGCGUUAAUACGGAGGGUGCGUGAGUUAGGCGGAAUUGCUGGGCGAAAGGCGCUCGUAGGCGGUAUGUCAAGUCAAGGGUGAAAUCCCCGCGCUCAACGUGGGAACGGCCUUUGAAACUGGCAAACUGGAGUGUGUGAGAGGAUAGUGGAAUUCCAGGUGUAGGAGUGAAAUCCGUAGAUAUCUGGAGGAACAUCAGUGGCGAAGGCGACUAUCUGGCACAUAACUGACGCUGAGGAGCGAAAGCGUGGGUAGCAAACAGGAUUAGAUACCCCUGUAGUC
rnacentral:rRNA from 1 species